rfam:Tupaia chinensis contig97703, whole genome shotgun sequence.
CCUUUCUUUACUUGGCAGGAAGUGAGUGUGUGGUCCCACUUCCUGUUAUGUACAGAGGCAGAAGGAAAGGGGCUUAAGCCUUCUCAGUGUCAUGUCUUUGGUGCUGGUGGCUUUCUUUCUUUCUUUCUUUU